CCUACGGGUGGCAGCAGUGGGGAAUAUUGGACAAUGGGCGAAAGCCUGAUCCAGCCAUGCCGCGUGUGUGAAGAAGGCCUUCGGGUUGUAAAGCACUUUCAGUGGGGAAGAAAGCCUUGGGGCUAAUACCCUCGAGGAAGGACAUCACCCACAGAAGAAGCACCGGCUAACUCCGUGCCAGCAGCCGCGGUAAUACGGAGGGUGCGAGCGUUAAUCGGAAUUACUGGGCGUAAAGCGCGCGUAGGCGGUCUGAUAAGCCGGUUGUGAAAGCCCCGGGCUCAACCUGGGAACGGCAUCCGGAACUGUGAGGCUAGAGUACGGGAGAGGAAGGUAGAAUUCCCGGUGUAGCGGUGAAAUGCGUAGAGAUCCGGAGGAAUACCGGUGGCGAAGGCGGCCUUCUGGACUAACACUGACGCUGAGGUGCGAAAGCGUGGGUAGCAAACAGGAUUAGAUACCCCAGUAGUC
rnacentral:rRNA from 1 species